rnacentral:rRNA from 1 species
CACGUAGGGGGCAAGCGUUGUCCGGAUUUAUUGGGCGUAAAGAGCUCGUAGGUGGCUCGGUAAGUCGGGUGUGAAAUUUCGAGGCUCAACCUCGAGACGCCACCUGAUACUGCUGUGGCUAGAGUCCGGUAGGGGAGCGUGGAAUUCCUGGUGUAGCGGUGAAAUGCGCAGAUAUCAGGAGGAACACCAGCGGCGAAGGCGGCGCUCUGGGCCGGUACUGACACUGAGGAGCGAAAGCGUGGGAAUCAAACAGG